GGCCGCUUGGCCCAAUGGUAAGGCGUCUGACUACGACCGAAUCCGCUUAAACGGAUCCGAGAAGUAAUCAGGAGAUUCUGGGUUCGAGCCCCAGGGUGGUCA